rnacentral:rRNA from 1 species
ACAAGCGGUGAAUGCUUUGGGGUGGGGUGACUGCGUACCUUUUGUAUAAUGGGUCAGCGACUUAUAUUCUGUAGCAAGGUUAACCGAAUAGGGGAGCCGGAGGGAAACCGAGUCUUAAUUGGGCGUUAAGUUGCAGGGUAUAGACCCGAAACCCGGUGAUCUAGCCAUGGGCAGGUUGAAGGUUGGGUAACACUAACUGGAGGACCGAACCGACUAAUGUUGAAAAAUUAGCGGAUGACCUGUGGCUGGGGGUGAAAGGCCAAUCAAACCGGGAGAUAGCUGGUUCUCCCCGAAAGCUAUUUAGGUAGCGCCUCGUGAAUUCAUCUCCGGGGGUAGAGCACUGUUUCGGCUAGGGGGCCAUCCCGGCUUACCAACCCGAUGCAAACUGCGAAUACCGGAGAAUGUUAUCACGGGAGACACACGGCGGGUGCUAACGUCCGUCGUGAAGAGGGAAACAACCCAGACCGCCAGCUAAGGUCCCAAAGUCAUGGUUAAGUGGGAAACGAUGUGGGAAGGCCCAGACAGCCAGGAUGUUGGCUUAGAAGCAGCCAUCAUUUAAAGAAAGCGUAAUAGCUCACUGGUCGAGUCGGCCUGCGCGGAAGAUGUAACGGGGCUAAACCAU